AGCUUAGUUGGUGAGGUAAUGGCUCACCAAGGCUACGAUCCGUAACUGGUCUGAGAGGAUGAUCAGUCACACUGGAACUUGAGACACGGUCCAGACUCCUACUGGAGGCAGCAGUGGGAAUAUUGGACAAUGGGCGAAAGCCUGAUCCAGYCAUGCCGCGUGUGUAAGAAGGUCUUCGGAUUGUAAAGCACUUUAAGUUGGGAGGAAGGGUACUUACCUAAUACGUGAGUAUUUUGACGUUACCGACAGAAUAAGCACCGGCUAACUCUGUGCCAGCAGCCGCGGUAAUACAGAGGGUGCAAGCGUUAAUCGGAAUUACUGGGCGUAAAGCGCGCGUAGGUGGUUUGUUAAGUUGGAUGUGAAAGCCCCGGGCUCAACCUGGGAACUGCAUCCAAAACUGGCAAGCUAGAGUAUGGUAGAGGGUGGUGGAAUUUCCUGUGUAGCGGUGAAAUGCGUAGAUAUAGGAAGGAACACCAGUGGCGAAGGCGACCACCUGGACUGA
rnacentral:rRNA from 1 species